GGGCACAUGGUCUAGGGGUAUGGUGAGUGAACAUGACUUCAGUUUGCUAGUAAGCAACACCCGACUAAUAAUAUACAGAUUUUCGCUUCGCAUUGACUGAACUGCACUUGUGAAAGGUCCGGGGUUCAAAUCCCCGUGUGUCCA
rnacentral:tRNA from 1 species